rnacentral:misc_RNA from 1 species
UUUCCGUAGGUGAACCUGCGGAAGGAUCAUUAACAAAAAAAUAAAAUCCACCUUAGGAAAAACCCAGAGAAGAAAUUCAAAGGGUUUUUCCUUAAGCAAACAGUGAACUUUGUUAAAGUUUCUAACAAGAUAUACCAAUCUAAAUUUUAUUUAGAAAGGUAUUUUCUUUUUAAAAACAAACUUGUUUAAUUUAUUUUGUCUUAUCCUUCUUAAACUAAAUUGGUUUUAGGACCUUUUUGGAAAGAAUAUUUAAAUCAAAAGUAACAACUUUUAACAACGGAUAUCUUGGCUCUU